GAUGAAGCACAAUGAAGGGGUGAUCAAUGCGCCAGUUCUAUCUGAAAUAUUUUACCGCGACAGAAAGAUUGUCCUGGUUGGCUUGCCUGAGCGCGCCGCAGCGCUUAAAAAUACUGGAAGAACUGAUGCAGUGGGAGGUGAAAACCUGACUCCGGAUAGGCAGACAUCAUGUGUGACUGAGUAUUGGUGCAGGCUAUAGCCUCGAUUCACCGCGCCAGCAGGUAUUAUCUGCUGGCUUUUUUC
rfam:Citrobacter rodentium ICC168, complete genome